UUACGUCCAUAUCAUGUUGAAACACCGGUUCUCAUACGAUCACCGAAGUUAAGCAACGUCGAUCCUGGUUAGUACCUAAAUGAUGGAUGACAGCUUGGGGAUACAAGGUGUUGUAAU